rnacentral:rRNA from 1 species
AUGAUCCUCCAAUUCCUCCGGAGGUGGCUGAACUCUUGGAACAGUAUGCAGCCCUUUUCGAGGAACCCAAAGGUCUGCCACCACAGCGCUCUUUUGAUCAUUCCAUUCCUUUGGUGCCCGGAGCUCGACCAGUCAACAUACGACCCUAUCGACAUAGUCCGGCCCAGAAAGAUGAGGUGGAACGGCAGGUCACUGAGAUGCUAG